CGCGGGGAGCGAACGUGCGGGCGGCCCGGGGGCUGCAUAAGAGACGCGGCAGGAAGCGGCUCGCCACAGGGCUUGCGGGGACCCGUGCGGCUGCGGGACGGCGCAGGUGGUGGCUGCUGCUCCCUGCACGGCUCAGGUUGGGCCCCCCCCUGUACCUCUAGACAGAACCGAAGGUGAGACUGCAGAGGAGGUAAAUGAGUGCUAAAGAAGAGGGACUGGCCAGCGGGGAUGGCCUGGAUCGCCUGGGCCAGUUGUUUGGUGGCCUGGAGCCAGGCAGAGCUCAUGGUGCUGUUCCCUGCACAGGAAAUGUUUAUGGCACAGAGAGCAAAACACUUCGGCUAAAUGAGCUCCCAGAUGUGAAUGGCUUCUGUGGCUCUCUGGGCAGCUGCUGGCCUUCAGGCUGCACGUUUGUCCUCCGUGCUGUGCAAAGCUUUGGAACGAGCUCCCCUGCCCUGGCAGGGUUGGAGGAGCUGCUCUCCAGAAAGCCUCAUGGGAGCAAGCCCCAGCAGGAACCCAGUGAGGUCCUCUCUACAGCGCAGGCUCAGCAUCACCUGGGAUGAGGACUGCCAGUUCCAUGGCUCACUGGGGGUGGAUCUGGAAGCUCUGUGUUGGUGGCCUUCCCCUCCCUGCCUGGGAUGCCCCUUCCCUGCCAGGUUGUUCUCAUCUGCUCUGUCCUUGCCGUAGCCUCCAGAGAAGUCCUCACUCUCCAUUGCCCCUCUCCCUUGGAAGGAGGAGAUGUGCAAGCUGUCAGAGGCCACCUCCUCCUUUGUGGGCCCUCAGAUCCAGAUGGAGGCUGAAGAUGGGCAGAAGGCCAAGUCCACCCUGAUGUUACAAGUACUUGUUGGGAAGACAAGUGAAAACAAACCCCAGAAACCAGCAAAAAGAAACCUGACCAAUUUCAGCAGCAGUUCCCUCCCCACAGACCGAGCAGGCUGCACAGAGUGCUGCCGCAGGAGCCGUCACAGCCCCUGCCGCCACGCACAGGACUCUCUCCGGGCAGUGUCAGUGGUGCCUGAUCCAGACCUCCCCCCGUGGGGGAAGCUGAACACUUUGGAGACCCUGCACUGUCUUCCAAGGUCCUGCCUGCGUCAAGCAGUGAAGCAGUCACAGAAUGGGAGGGGCUGGAAGGGACCUUUGGAGAUCAUCCGGUCCAAGCCCCUGCCAGAGCAGCAGCACCCAGGGCAGGGCGCACAGGAACACAUCCACGAGGGUUUUGAGAGUGUACAGAGCAGGAGACUCCACAGCCUAUCUGGACAGCCUGUUCCAGGCUCACCCUCACAGUGACAAAGUUUCCCCUCUUGUUCCCCUGGCACCUCCUCUGCUCUAGCUUGCCCU